AGCAGCCGCGGUAAUUCCAGCUCCAAUAGCGUAUAUUAAAGUUGUUGCAGUUAAAAAGCUCGUAGUUGAAUUUCGGGAUCAAUAUGUUGGUCGUGCCUCGGUACGUACUAGCUUAUUGGUUUCUCCUUUCUGAAGAACCAUGAUGUCAUUUAUUUGGUGUCGUGGGGAAUCAGGACUGUUACUUUGAAAAAUUAGAGUGUUUAAAGCAGGCUCACGCUUGAAUACAUUAGCAUGGAAUAAUGAAAUAGGACGUUUGAUUCUAUUUUGUUGGUUUCUAGGAUCGACGUAAUGAUUAAUAGGGAUAGUUGGGGGCAUUAGUAUUCAAUUGUCAGAGGUGAAAUUCUUGGAUUUAUUGAAGACUAACUACUGCGAAAGCAUUUGCCAAGGAUGUUUUCAUUAAUCAAGAACGAAAGUUAGGGGAUCGAAGACGAUCAGAUACCGUCGUAGUCUUAACCAUAAACUAUG
rnacentral:sRNA from 1 species